CGUAUGUAAAAAUGUCUUUGCGACAGUCGUUAUGUAUGUGUGUUUACAUAUGAAACGAAAGUGGAAAUUCAUUUUAACCAAGUGGAAUAUUGUUUUUUAAAGUUUAAAGAUCUACUGUUCGUUUUUAUUUGAUUCAAGUACAGUCGAUUUAAUACUUAGUAAAGAUCCUUGUCCAGUCAAUGUGAUCCUUGUCCAGUCAAUGUGAUCCUUGUCCAGUCAAUGUGAUCCUUGUCCAGUCAAGUUAUUAUAG